rnacentral:rRNA from 1 species
UACGUAGGGUGCAGGCGUUAAUCGGAAUUACUGGGCGUAAAGCGUGCGCAGGCGGUCUUUUAAGUCAGAUGUGAAAUCCCCGGGCUUAACCUGGGAACUGCGUUUGAAACUGGAAGGCUUGAGUGUGGCAGAGGGGGGUGGAAUUCCACGUGUAGCAGUGAAAUGCGUAGAGAUGUGGAGGAACACCGAUGGCGAAGGCAGCCCCCUGGGCUGAGAUUGACGCUCAGGCACGAAAGCGUGGGGAGCAAACAGG